GGGGUCGUGGCCUAGUCCGGCAUGGCGACGGGCUCCAGCGGUCUUUGCAUCCGGUGCAGAUGAUGACAAAUGGGUCUUCUGAUUUGGUGAUGAUCCGUUGGAGCACUGAUGCAUAUCGGAGAGACCCGUCGAUCGUGAGUUCAAAUCUCACCGACCCCA
rnacentral:tRNA from 1 species